rnacentral:rRNA from 1 species
UACGUAGGGGGCAAGCGUUAUCCGGAUUUACUGGGUGUAAAGGGAGCGCAGACGGCAGUGCAAGUCAGAUGUGAAAUGCAGGGGCUCAACUCCUGACGUGCAUUUGAAACUGUACAGCUCGAGUGCCGGAGAGGUAAGCGGAAUUCCUAGUGUAGCGGUGAAAUGCGUAGAUAUUAGGAGGAACACCAGUGGCGAAGGCGGCUUACUGGACGGUAACUGACGUUGAGGCUCGAAAGCGUGGGGAG